GCUCAAAGCGCGAGUACAUGUGUUGUACAUUCGACAUGCUCACUUUCGCGGAAGUUUUAUAAAGUUAUAGUUUUGUUUAUAGUUUUUAUUAUACACAUGAUGUAACAAUUAUAGUAAAUGACGCAAUGGAUUCGCGUGAAGAGGGUUUAUUAACGUAAGCCAACACAAAGAUUGCUACUAUGCCAGC